AGCCAUGAUCAACUCUCCAGAAGUUGGUUGUGGUUAGCGGGUCGCAUGGGUUCCAGCCCAUGCGGCCCGCGUU
rnacentral:antisense_RNA from 1 species